rnacentral:rRNA from 1 species
GAUGAACGCUGGCGGCGUGCCUAAUACAUGCAAGUCGAGCGAACAGACGAGUAUCUUGCUCCUCUGACGUUAAUGGCGUACGUGUGAGUAACACGUGGAUAACCUACCUAUAAGACUGGGAUAACUUCGUGAAACCGGAGCUAAUACCGGAUACUAUCUUGAACCGCAUGGUUCAAUAGUGACAGACGGUUUUGCUGUCCCUUAUAGAUGUAUCCGCGCCGCAUUAGCUAGUUGGUAAGGUAACAGCUUACCAAGGCAACGAUGGGUAGCCGACCUGAGAGGGUGAAGGGGAACAGGGGAACUGAGACACGGUACAGAGGCCGAGGGGAGGCAGAAGUAGGGAAGGGUCGGAAAAGGGCGAAAGACUGAAGGAGCAACGGAGGGCGAGUGAUGAAGGGCUGCGGACCGGAAAACUCUGUUAGUAGGGAAGAACAAAUGCGGAAGGAACGAUGCAUGUGGUGACGGUACCUAAUCAGAAAGCAACGGCUAACUACGUG